CUUGUUUUAGGGAUCUUACGAAGAUAAGGGGUCCCCCGGACCGUGUAGAGAGGUAGAGUAGAGAAGGGGCGGAGGAAGAGGUGGAGGCCGGCGGCGGCGCCGGUCCGGUAGCACCGCCGCGCGGUGGGUCGGUUGGAGGAAGGAGGUUGUGGUAGUAGCGGAGGUCGAUGGUGCGGUAGUCGUUGACGGCGACGUGGUAGUUGGCGCGGUGGUCGAGGUGGCGCGGUGGCGUAGUGGCCACCCGGUGGUUGGUCGCGUGGAGGGAGCGGAACAACGAGUAGAAGAAGAGGUAGGGGUGCGACGACGAAGAAGAGGUUCAGGGGACGACGAAGGAAGACGAAGUCCUAUUGUGGGGAAACGACUAAGAGAAGAGACAUAGAGUUGGGGGUGACGAACGACGGGGAAGAGAGACGAUGAGCGACGAUAGAGAAAGGGAGAGAGAAGAGACUUAAAAGACAUUAACCUCUGCACAUCAAGGACAUUAUAAAUCUAAACUAUUCUAGAACGUUGGACUGUUAACGAGUCGAAGCAAGAAUAUUUAUAACAUAGUGUCUAACACACAAGAGUGAUCAACUUCACAAGAACGACACAUAAACACCAGAUAGACAGUGGUAUAUACACAUAGGUUGGAACACUUGAACAAAGUAAAACAUCAGACACAAUUGAGUUCGUACACACUUUAUAUAUGUAUACACACACGGACACUAUAUUAUGCAAAUACAAGAUAGAACGUUGGAACAAAUAAAAAGGACGAUUUACAAUCUAUCAAUAUAUAUACUAGUCCAGAAAAAUUAAGGGAUCGGCAAACUGCUAAUGAACACAAUCGUAAAAUAAAGAGUUAAAAUUACUUUUACGGUUUUUCUAUAACUCUAUUAGACUUGGAAGGUAACGAUGAAACAGUAAAAGAAACAGCAGUUGAAACCAAUCAAAUCCGGAUAUAAAGGAACGUUAGUAGUAGAUUUAAGACAGUGGAUCGAAAUCGGUUCGUGCUAGUAGCUAAACGGAUCAGGGACACCCCUUGUGCUGUGAACGUCAAACCCACUUUAUAGGGCGACAUGAAUGUUAACUAGUAAAACCGCGGCAACGGCCCCUGAACGCAGCUCGCUAACACGCUUCGAUAUCUGAUCCGAAUCAUAUCAAAAACAAAUUUAAAGGUCAGUUUAAAUAAAUACACAAAGAAAAUGGAAAAAUGAAAAACAACGAAGCCGAAUAAUCCUAUGAUUGGGAGAGUGGUUACAAACUACAAACACUCGCACACAUCCUAUAGAAUAAUAAACAUCCGACUAACUGUUAACGUGAACUUGUAUACCCAAAUCAUGCACUAGAAACCAACGGUUCAUCAAACCUGUGCUACUGUCCCGGUUAAACCGGUAGAUAACUCCGGCUUUUAAAACUCAACUCCGGACCCGAAUAACGAGAGCAGAACGUCUUAGUCAAAUCUCCUAAUGGGUUACUUCUGGGAGUACUCGUGUAAUCAUUACAAGACCUCAUACGGUUAUGUCAGGUCAUAGUACCGCAAAGGGUUCUACGAUAGUUCACAUACAACAAGUGUAAGAGAGAGUCUCUACGACGUUCCUGACCAUGAUAAGAAACGGUAGUUCUAGUAUGUGAACCCCACUAUAAAGUGUUCGAAAGGACGUAUCUAUAAAAGGUGAAAUGUUCGUUCGACGUUAAGCACUGGUCUAGGAGUCAAAACGCGUUCUACCAUCACUCUCGAACAUACGUCGAACCCUCUCUACAUUCAUAAACGAAUCUUUUACAGGAUUAGUACCCGUUUUCCUAACCAAUCACGAAGUCUAUAAGAUAUCUCCCGAUUGUGUACGAAGUUCUCUAGAAUAACUAUACAGUCGACCACCUUGUUAGUACUUGUUCCGGCAACUCCCACGUUAAUAAGAGUAACUCUCGUAACGGAAGGUGGUUUAUGUUACCCCAAUACUUUCCGGAUCAAGUUUAGGCUUCCAACGUUCGGAGCACGUUAGUCUUCGACACACAAGGUAUUCACUUGUCUUUAGUAGGUACCACGGAUUAUAAGUUUUGGUCGUACAAAGUAAGGCCCCUGUUGUUGUAAAGUCUUGACUUAAUCUAGGAGGUAUAUCUUUGUAACUAGAAUGAAGUUAAUAGGAACUACUACUAAUACUAUAAAAGGUUCUACUACGUUGGUGACAUCUAGUCUACCUAUGGUGUCAUCGUCUAGGUUAUGGAGUACCGUUACUUUGACAAGUCUUACUCAGUUUCAACGUUCUUCUCCAAAUACUCCUUGGAUGAGACUAACUGCGAUUCAACUCUGUCGUUCUAUACCUCUUUAAGUGAAUACAAUCAGUCGAUAGACUGACCACCUUAAGUCAGCACAGUGGUUAACGGGUGUGAACACAAUGUUGACAUAGACCUGAUAAACAGUUCUUCUUUAGUAAUCUAGGUGGUCACCAAUGGAGAUAGUGUCAAUUUCUCUCAUAGAGUCUCUUCUUAUCACUUCUACUCUAAGGUUGAGGACGUGUAUGUUAAUUCGUUCAGCCUCUGUAAGGUUCCUCUCUCUAUGUUCUCCAACUCAGUUUAAAUCUUCUCGACUAUGAAGUUAUAGGACUCUUCUAGGGUACACAACGACUCGACGUACUGACCACCUUCAGUAGCCACAGUGACAACUUUGAAUCGUUACUACCACUACUCCUCUUGUAACGAGUCUUUCUGUCGCUCCAUCACUAGAGUCGUGGGGAUGGUCUAGUACAAUCACUUAUAAGUAUCUACCCCUGUGAAGUCUGAGUUAAUUCACAACGACCAUCAUCGUGGUAUCUUCUAGGUCUCCUUCUCUCUGGAGUCUAACUUCUACAUGAGCUUCGGUUCCGUGUUCUACUAGGUCUCGAGCUUGUUGGUUCAUUAGUUCAACUUCUGAGUAGUAGAUGAUGAGAACUUCUUCGUUUUCUUCGACGACAUCUACUUGAACUUCUUGGUCUUUAAGUAAACGGAUAACAGUGUGUUCUCGCACUACAUCGUCCAAAUAGAUUAGGAGCACUACUGUACUCAGGUAUACUUAACAAACGAUGAUGGAACGUAACGUACUACGGUAGACAAUUUCAUCUAAACUUUUUCAUAAACGAACCUGUACUAGUAUAUAUGGAACAAUCACCGUAAUGAGUGUAAUCCCUACUAGUAUCAAUGAAAGUAGCACGAUCUGGAUACGAAUUACUUUGUAUAGUAAGAGUAUGAUCAGAACUCGAAUUACUAUUUACAGUAGGAGUACAAUCACAACUGGAACGACUAAAGAUAGUGGGAUUUGUACACGAAAUAUCGAUACGAAUACAUUAACCGGUGAGCUAACUACUGAACCUCCCAUAAUAGGGAUGGUGAGCGUAACAGAGAAAACAACUCACGGAAAAGUCCAAAAACGAAGACGUGGCAAGUGAAGUACAACUGGUCCAAGCUCCACUGUAAGGAACCCUGGGACCACCUGAGUCUCGUGCCACUUCUCCUCUUCGUUACCCCGUGUUUAUACCUUCUCUCUUCGACCUCGUCCGUACUCCUAACUCUUCGUUUUCCUCUCCUCGACGUCAACCACUCCACUAGCUCGCUCACGAUGUAGUAGUUUCGGGCCACUCGACAAAGUACUGGGUAAAACUUUAGUAGUACGUAACUACGAACGACUUAAUUUAACGAUAAACCCAACGAACACGGUAAAGAAUUUACAACAGGGUGACUUAAAGUGGAAACUGUAUACCACGAACUACUCUUAUACGCUUGACUAACAACUUACGGAACAUUUGAUCACUAGAUGUGGGACAAACGAGACGACUUUCAUCACUUUCGAUAAUCAAAACUCACGAGUUUAGGGAUCACGUGAUCAUUUGAAUUAGUAAAAGACGAAAAUGGAACUAUGUGAAUCUAGUAAUUCACAAUCUACAACUCAAACACGGAUACCACAAGGGUAACUCUCGUUAGUGAAAUGGUGAUACCUGAUCAUACGAUACAAGGGACCUAGCCAUCGUACACUUGGUCUGUACCUCUUCACUACUAAGGACAAAAACACGAAUAGGCAACAAGUAAAUUCUAUUCAUUAUUACUUAUUUAUUCAGACUGAUGGAUGUCAUCGUACAGUACAAGGGAUCUAGCUACCGUACACUUUAGCCCAAUCGAACCCGUCAUUAAUUAAUUUUUACAUUAACAGCUUGGUCCACAUAUGGUACAAGAGACCUAGCCACCAUACAAGGAAACCCCUCUGUUUGUUUUUUUUGAUUAUUAACCAGCUCGGCCCACAUAUGGUACAAGAGCCCUAGCCACCAUACAAGGAAACCACUCUAUCUAUUUUAUAAUAGUGACGAAAUAAAAACAUUUAUUCACUAGACUAGUGUUCAAAUACAAGAAAAACAAGAGCCCUAGUACGAGAGAAAUCCUUGGAAACCGUGUUAGUAGUAAACUCGAUCAACUAGAAGAAAAUAGUAACAUUUUCAAAUUUUACCAGUUCAGAUGAUCAUAGGAUGGCGAAACUUCGUGAGGAUUGGUAAUUAAAAGUGAUCGAUUCAGGUUUCGUACGUGACAAAUCUCUAGAUGAAGUGAACCGUAAGAGAUCAGUCAAGAGAUAAGUGAUAGCUCAAGCACAGUAUACGGAAAUGAACUCCUGUUCAUUUCUAAAUUCACACCCCCUUGAACUAUUCGUGUGAAGAAUAUGUAGAAAACCGUGAGUUUAUACGCCAAAUAACUCUAUACUGGUAGUUAAGAACGACACUUUACAACUUAUAAACUUACUUUUAGUAUAUUUUCUAGUAAAUGAGCAGUAAACUAAUAAAACGUCUUUUCACGCGUUUCCGUGAUAUUAGCAGUUCUAAGACUGAAAUACCGAUUACUGUUCCCUCUUCCCGUACUUUCUUUAUGUAGUUCCUGGACUCGCUCUUCUUUUCUUCAUUGGUCCCCGUACGGUUACUUCAACCUCCCUAGUAGAACACUUCUUUCUUCUCUUCAUCUUCCCGGUUUCUCGUUUCGCCUUCUAGACUAGCUCCCCUUGUUUUAGGGAUCUUACGGAGAUAAGGGGUCCCCCGGACCGUGUAGAGAGGUAGAGUAGAGAAGGGGCGGAGGAAGAGGUGGAGGCCGGCGGCGGUGCCGGUCCGGCAGUACCGCCGCGCGGUGGGUCGGUUGGAGGAAGGAGGUUGUGGUAGUAGCGGAGGUCGAUGGUGCGGUAGUCGUGGACGGCGACGUGGUAGUUGGCGCGGUAGUCGAGGUGGCGCGGUGGCGUAGCGGCCACCCGGUGGUUGGUAGCGUGGAGAGAGCGGGACGACGAGUAGAAGAAGAGGUAGGGGUGCGACGACGAAGAAGAGGUUCAGCGGACGACGAAGGAAGACGAAGUCCUAUUGUGGGGAAACGACUAAGAGAAGAGACAUAGAGUUGGGGGUGACGAACGACGGGGAAGAGAGACGAUGAGCGACGAUAGAGAAAGGGAGAGAGAAGAGACUUAAAAGACAUUAACCUCUGCACAUCAAGGACAUUAUAAGUCUAAACUAUUCUAGAACGUUGGACUGUUAACGAGUCGAAGCAUGAAUAUUUAUAACAUAGUGUCUAACACACAAGAGUGAUCAACUUCAUAAGAACGACACAUAAACACCAGAUAGACAGUGGUAUAUACACAUAGGUUGGAACACUUCAACAAAGUAAAACAUCAGACACAAUUGAGUUCGUACACACUAUAUAUAUGUAUACACACACGGA
rnacentral:rRNA from 1 species